UACGAGGGGGCGAGCGUUGUUCGGAAUUAUUGGGCGUAAAGGGUGCGUAGGCGGUUCCGCAAGUCCUGUGUGAAAUCUUCGGGCUCAACUCGAAGUCUGCACGGGAAACUGCGGGGCUUGAGUGUGGGGAGAGGUGAGUGGAAUUCCCGGUGUAGCGGUGAAAAUGCGUAGAUAUCGGGAGGAACACCAGUGGCGAAGGCGGCUCACUGGCCCAUUACUGACGCUGAGGCACGAAAGCGUGGGGGAGCAACCAGG
rnacentral:rRNA from 1 species